rnacentral:rRNA from 1 species
GAGUUUGAUCAUGGCUCAGGAUGAACGCUAGCGGCAGGCUUAACACAUGCAAGUCGAGGGGUAUAGUUCUUCGGAAUUAGAGACCGGCGCACGGGUGCGUAACGCGUAUGCAAUCUACCUUUCACAGAGGGAUAGCCCAGAGAAAUUUGGAUUAAUACCUCAUAGUAUAACGACUCCGCAUGGAGAUGUUAUUAAAGUCACAACGGUGAAAGAUGAGCAUGCGUCCCAUUAGCUAGUUGGUAAGGUAACGGCUUACCAAGGCUACGAUGGGUAGGGGUCCUGAGAGGGAGAUCCCCCACACUGGUACUGAGACACGGACCAGACUCCUACGGGAGGCAGCAGUGAGGAAUAUUGGACAAUGGGCGCAAGCCUGAUCCAGCCAUGCCGCGUGCAGGAUGACGGUCCUAUGGAUUGUAAACUGCUUUUGCACAGGAAGAAACAACGCUACGUGUAGCGUCUUGACGGUACUGUGAGAAUAAGGAUCGGCUAACUCCGUGCCAGCAGCCGCGGUAAUACGGAGGAUCCAAGCGUUAUCCGGAGUCAUUGGGUUUAAAGGGUCCGUAGGCGGUUUAGUAAGUCAGUGGUGAAAGCCCAUCGCUCAACGGUGGAACGGCCAUUGAUACUGCUAGACUUGAAUUAUUAGGAAGAACUAGAAUUGUAGUGUAGCGGUG